rnacentral:rRNA from 1 species
UACGGAGGGUGCAAGCGUUGUCCGGAUUAUUGGGUUUAAAGGGUGCGUAGGCGGCUUUAUAAGUCAGUGUUGAAAUACUACAGCUUAACUGUGGAACUGGCAUUGAUACUGUAGAGCUUGAGUUCAGUCGAGGUAGGCGGAAUUGAUGGUGUAGCGGUGAAAUGCUUAGAUAUCAGGAGGAACACCAAUUGCGAAGGCAGCUCGCUGGGACGUUACUGACGCUGAGACGCGAAAGCGUGGGGAGCAAACAGG